AUAUGUCAAUUCAACCUUAAUUUAAUUUUAGUUAAAAUCCUAUUGAAUUUCACUCAAACUUUAGACCAAACCUGAUUAAAUCUUAAACCCUAAUAAAUCCUAAAUCCUAAGUCAAAUCCUAAACAAACCUUAAAUUAAACCCUAAAUCAAACCCUAUUUCAAAUCCUAAAUGAAACCCUAAACCAAAUCCUAAACACUAAUCCAAACUCUAAUCCAAUCCUAAAUCCUAAUCCAAACCCUAAAUCCUAAACCAAACCUUAAAUCAAAUCAUAACCAAACCCUAAUCCAAAUCCUAAUCAAACCCUAACCAAACCCUAAACCCUAAUCCAAAUCCUAAUCCAAAUCCUAAAUCAAACCCUAACCAAAUCCUAAACCCUAAUCUAAACCCUAAUCCAAUCCUAAAUCCUAACCAAACCCUAAACCCUAAUCCAAACCCUAAUCCAAACCCUAAAUCAAAUCCUAACCAAAUCCUAAUCCAAACCCUAAACUCUAAAUCAAACCCUAAAUCGAACCCUAGCCAAACCCUAAUCCAAAUCCUAGUAAU
rnacentral:lncRNA from 1 species